GUCCUCGCUUUCAUAGCACAUAUACUAAAAUUGGAACAAUACAGAGAAGACGAGCAUGGCCUCUGAGCAAGGAUGACAUGCAAAUUUAUGAAGUAAAAAACAAAAAG
ensembl:snRNA U6 U6 spliceosomal RNA